AAAAACAUACUAUAGGGUCCUCAUAGUGCGAUGCCGGUUUCUCGCCGAGAUUCCUCGGAAAUAUAUUCAACCACGAUGAGGACCUGUUAUUGUAAUCCCCUGGGCGGGAAGCCUCUUUAAGUGUUUUGCUUGAGAGAUUUUGGGUGACCGUUCUGACUCGGUUUACCGAGGGUUUAGAGGAGAUACACAGGCCUGAGUGGU